ensembl:snoRNA
UUAGUGCUUCCACAGGUCCUCCCCUAGGCAGGAGGCCAGGAUUUGAUAGCUGGUGCUGAGAGAAAACCUUGAUUGCAUCCUUGCCUUGGUAAUAUACCAGUGACAGCUGUCACUCAGUGGGAUAGAC